rnacentral:lncRNA from 10 species
AGCUCUGCAUGUCUCCGUUAUGCAGAGCUCGGACCAUUCACUCCAACCAGCCCGCUCAUUAUAGCAACACAAGAACUAAGAGUCCCUGGGUACUUCCUGCCUGCACCAGGGGCUUCUCAGCUUACUCCCAGAUUUCUAAUAUGUCAUCUCAUUGCAGCUGAUGACAUCCCUCCAAGACAGGUAAGAAUUACCAUGCCCAUUGGACAGCCAUCAAAAAUAAAGCUCAAAGAGUUUGAGAUCACAUUCAUGGCAUGGCAGGCAGAAUCUAAACUGGCCCUAGAUUCCUGCUCCCUAAUAAGCAUGCAUUGCAUGUCCACCCUUUGAGGGCAGGCGGGACUUGGGAAUAUGAUGAGAUGUUCCCGCUAUUGUAAGGUUACCUUAUAAGGCAAAGGUGGUAGAAUUUUGCAGAUGUAAUUAAGAUCCCUAAUCAGUUGAGUUUGAGUUAAUCAAAAUGGAGAUUCCCCUAAGUGGGCCUGGCCUAAUCAGGUGAGUCUUUUAAAAGAGAAUCUAGGCCUUCCUUGAAAAGGGAAAUUUAAAGUGAGAGAGCAGCUCUCCUGCUGGUCUUGAAGAAGCAAGAUUCCAGGAGUUCUGCAUCUACAAGGAAAUGAUUUCUACCAAGAACCACAUGAGCUUGGAAGGAUCUCGAGCCCAGAGGAGACCUCAGCCCCAGCAAUACCUCGGUUGCAACCUUGUGAGAUCCUGAGCAGAAGACUCCAGCUCAGCUGUGCCCAGACUCAUGCCCCACAGACAGUGUGACAUAAUGAAUGUGUUUUGAGCCUUUAAAUUUGCGGUAAUUUGUUACAUAGCAAGAGAAAGCAAAUACACGUGUGAUCACCAAUCAAGUAGACUUGCCUUAACAUCCACGCUGUGGCCAUUCCGACCCCCUUUGUGAACUCCUUUCUGGUAUUUACAGUCUACACAUGCA